rnacentral:rRNA from 1 species
GUGCCAGCCGCCGCGGUAAGACGAACCGUGCGAACGUUAUUCGGAAUCAUUGGGCUUAAAGCGCGUGUAGGCGGAUCCGUGCGUCUGUCGCUGAAAUCCCCCGGCUCAACCGGGGAACGGGCGCGGAUACGACGGGUCUGGAGGGGCGUAGGGGGACCUGGAACUUCCGGUGGAGCGGUGAAAUGCGUUGAGAUCGGAAGGAACGCCCGUGGCGAAAGCGAGGUCCUGGACGCCUACUGACGCUGAGACGCGAAAGCCAGGGGAGCGAACGGGAUUAGAUACCCCGGUAGUCCUGGCCGUAAACGAUGGGUACUGGAUAGGGGGCUCGCCGAUGGGCUCCCUGUCGUAGGGAAACCGUGAAGUACCCCGCCUGGGGAGUAUGGUCGCAAGGCUGAA